UUGCUAGAGAGGACUUUCCUU
rnacentral:miRNA from 1 species